rnacentral:rRNA from 1 species
CGCUGUAAACGAUGUCUACUAGCCGUUGGAGGACUUGAUCCUUUAGUGGCGCAGCUAACGCGAUAAGUAGACCGCCUGGGGAGUACGGUCGCAAGAUUAAAACUCAAAUGAAUUGACGGGGGCCCGCACAAGCGGUGGAGCAUGUGGUUUAAUUCGAAGCAACGCGAAGAACCUUACCUACUCUUGACAUCCAGUGAACUUUUGAGAGAUCAAUUGGUGCCUUCGGGAACACUGAGACAGGUGCUGCAUGGCUGUCGUCAGCUCGUGUUGUGAAAUGUUGGGUUAAGUCCCGUAACGAGCGCAACCCUUGUCCUUAGUUACCAUCAUUAAGUUGGGGACUCUAAGGAGACUGCCGGUGACAAACCGGAGGAAGGCGGGGACGACGUCAAGUCAUCAUGGCCCUUACGAGUAGGGCUACACACGUGCUACAAUGGCAUGUACAAAGGGUUGCCAAGCCGCGAGGUGGAGCUAAUCCCAUAAAGCAUGUCGU